CUCUGCCCCUGCCUUGCCAGUCAACAUUGACUUCAUAAAGGAAACUGACGAAGAAGUACAAACUGAUGUCCAUAUUGAAGUCGAGACAUGGGCUCACAAUGCAUCAGUUCAAGUUGAUGCUGAACAGUUUCUCCAGAUAGAGGUAGUGCCGGAACCACAGGAUCACACCUAUUCAGCAUCAGCCAUUGCUACUACUUCAGCAGCUGAGCCCAAGGAUGUUGGAGUACAAGUUGAAAGGGAGGCAGAUCUAACAGAAGCACCUACUGAUCAGAGAGCCCGGACCAGAGGAAGGAUUCUUGCUAGUGACAAGAGUGUUCAGCGCUAUACAGGUCUUCCUAACAAAAGUGUUUUGAUUUCUAUUUAUCAGACCAUUAAAAAGAGAGUAAAAACAAUUAAUUACUGGAAAGGGCCAAAAAGCAUAAAGGAAAAUUUAAAGAAAGGGGCACGUGGCCGUAAGAAAAUACUAGAUACUUUUGAUGAGUAUUUAAUUACACUUGUGUACAUCCGUCAAGGUUUUCCGGGCUGGUUUUUAGGCGACUUAUUUGCAGUCUCACAAGCUUCAGUUUCAUGCAUCACUAAUACCUGGAUAAAUGUAUUGUAUGAGGUACUGCAACCGUGGCUAUUGUGGCCUUCAGCUCAGCAAGUUAGGGACAACCUUCCUGAUUGGUAUCCAGUAAAGUAUGCAGAUACAAGGGUAAUUUUGGAUUGCACAGAGAUUUAUAUCAACAAACCAGCAAACUGCUCUGCUCAAGCAAUGACAUACUCCAUGUAUAAGCAUCACAACACUGCCAAAGUUCUUGUUGGCAUAACACCAACAGGAAUUAUUACAUUUGUGUCAACUCCAUAUGGUGGUAACACAUCUGAUAGGCACAUUGCAGAGGUUGAACUGAUAGACAAAAUUGAACCAGGAGAUGCUGUCAUGGUGGAUAGAGGGUUCAAUAUUGGAGACCUACUGCUGCAACGUGGUGCAAAACUGCACAUGCCACCCUUAACUCGCAAGAAAGAGGAUGGUUCAGGAAGGGCACUAAAUGCACAAGAAAGAAUCAGAACAAGGGAGGUUGCUUCAUUGAGGGUGCAUGUUGAACGUGCUAUUGAAAGAAUGAAGAAUUUCAAAAUUUUAUCAGGACAGCUCGAUAAUAAGCUUUGGCCCCUUUUGCAUCAAAUUUCAGUAAUAGUUGCUGUUUUCUGCAAUUUAAUGCCCUCUCUGUGCAACUAAAUGUUGACACAAAUGUCAAUGUUCAUGUCUAUAUUUACAAAUAUCAUUAUAUACUUAAGGGCUCUGAAUUCACAUAAUUAUGUAAUGUUAUGGUACACUAUUUUGUUUAUGAAUUUGGAUUAGGUUUAUCGGAUAUGAAUAAGUCAAUGAAGGUGUGAAUAAAACUACUUUUGUUUCCAGAUAUUUUAUUACAUCAUCUGAGAUUCAUCAUAUAAAGUUACAUGCUCUGUGUGUGUGUGUGUGUGUGUGUGUGUGUGUGUGUGUGUGUGUGUGUUUGUUUGUUUGUUUGUGUGACAGCAAUCUUCUUUGCCCCCAAAGGGCAAGUAAGGUACCCAAAGAAAUCUUAAACAUGAACAAAUACAAAUCUCAUACAAAACAAUUUUUCGUAUCACCACAGUCCAUAAAUAAAUGGGAGAGAGAGAGAGAGAGAGAGAGAGAGAGAGAGAGAGAGAGAGAGAGAGAGAGAGAGAGAGAGAGAGAGAGAGAGAGAGAGAGA